UUGCCCUAUACAGAUAUAUGGGCAACAAAACAGUGGAUGUGUUGCCCUUUAUUAUUUUUUUGGGCCACAAAAUAUAACUUGGUUGCCUAUUUCCAUAGUUAGGUGACAAAUAACUUAAUUCGUUGUCUAUUUUUAUUAAAAAAAGCGGAGUGGUAUUUUAUUUGGUUGCCCAAAUUCCACUAAAAAUUUGGUGGAAAAAACACCGCUUUCAUUGAAAUUCCCAAAAAAAAAUUCAUAAGACUAGUGAUGCAAAAAUUUCAAUACAGCUUCCCCUAAAAAAUAAAAAAAAAAGAGUACUGCUUAAAGAACUAACCCUUUACCCACGAUCAAACAAUUUUCCCUUCUCAUCCGUUAAAAAAAACCCAUCAAUUUCUCUUCUCUUUUCUCUGACCAAACCGAAAGCUGCCAUUGAAGAGGUUGUUCUUCCAUUAUUUUUGCAUUUCUUUGUAAAAUUCAGUAUUUCUUUAGCUAAUUCAUUCGUUAAUUCCGCCAUUGACGGCGGUGGCCGGCGGUGAGGCAGCGGUGACAGCGAAUUUAAGGUCGACGCAUUGACGGCGGUGAGGUAGUAGGAAAAUGUCAAUCAUACCAACAUCAUCGGAGCAAAAUCAACAAGAAAGUGAGAUUCAACAACCACCACCAAGGUUGAAUUAUCGUGAGCAGCGAAGGAUUGACCAAGCUGAGCUUCGAAAAAAAAAUUCUGAUCGUAAGAGGCGUGGUCCUACCAGGGGGCUUAAAAUAUGUUUCUAAAAGGGCAAAAAAUCCAGAUGAAAAAAUUACAAUAACUUUCAUGGAUGAGCUUCCACGUGUGGUUGGUGAAAAGGCAAAUGAGUUCAUAUGCGAUUGUAGCAAUUCAGUCGAAGAGUUUUGUCCUUUAGAUGCAUUAAAUUGGGCUAAAAUGGAUUCUUCUGCAAAGCAAAGUUUGUAUGACAAGAUUUUGGUGAGUUUGAGUUUUAUAAAACAUAUUUGUUGAAGUUUUAAAUUAUUAGAUCACUUUACUAACUAAAGUUUUUGUGUGUUGGGAUUAGGGGAUUUUUCCCCACCAAUCACCAUCUGACAAGUGGACCAAUCAGGUUCCGCCAUGUGUC